rnacentral:lncRNA from 1 species
AUAAUCAUAUUAUAAACAUUGAUUCAACAAAUGAAGGGUAUCUUUAAUCGAUAUAAGAUAAGUACCGGACAUAAUUACAUAAUUGUAUAUAUGAAAAAUAUUUAAGGCAUUGAAUAAUAUUUUUUGCUUUCACCACCACAAGUUGAAUCUGGUUUGUGGAGAUAUUGAAUAAAUUUUACUUUGCACAAUGUUUGAUGUUUAAAUUUAUGUAAUUUGUGUGAAGGAUAAAAAGUUGUUCAUUAGUUUAGUGAGGAACAAUAAUUUUAAUAUUUGUCCACUCUCUUGUAUCCACUUUGUCAAAUUUUAAAAACAGUUUUAAAAUUAAAUAUAGUACGACUAAAAUUAUCAUGUUCAUUUCCUUAGGAGAUCAAACGCAAUGUUCAUUUCCUUACUCUUGUUGCUUAUGUGUGUUAUUUUUUUUGGAUUCAUUUUUAUUUUAGAUUCUCUAAGAUUAAUUUUGAUAAAAUCAAUUCUUUAGAAACUUAUAAAAAAGCACAAAUCAAAAGGUUUUCAUGUUGAUAAAAGUAUAAAAAAUUAAAAUCACUCAAGUUGAAAACUAUGAAUAUUAAAAUAGUUUAUCAUUAAAAGAAUUGAAAAAAACCAUAGAAUCAAUAAAAAAUAACAUUCUCUCAACUUCUAUUAAAAAUAAUUUUCUUUAAAAACUAAUCAAAAUAGCUAUUUCGUUAUCAACAUGAAAAUUAGUUCUUAAGAAAACAAUUUUUGAGAAUAAUCUAUACUUAAACAUCACCAAAUAAAAAAUCCAGAACAAUAUAGACUGGCGGAGUCUAGGGUGGGAAAGGGCCCUAGGUCUCCCAUGGUGGGAAAGUAAUAUUAUCCGUUCGAUUGUGAGGUUCUAUGGAUGUUACGACACACCACCAACAUCUUAUACAUUUUCUAUCUCUCUCUUUCUCUGUGCCUCCUAUGCCCAUCACCACCACCUUGUUUCAAACCGAAAACCCAGAAAACUGUGAAGAAGAAGAAGAAGAAGAAGAAGAAGAAGAAGAAGAAGAAGAACAAUAAUUAUCCUGUAAUGAGUUUGAGUUUAUUGAAGUUAUUGGUACUUAAGUGUUAAUUAAACAAACCUCUUCUACCAUGUUGCUUAACGAAAUUGAUAAUAAUACCUUUCUUCCCUUCUUCGAUCAAAUCAUAUCAGCAACAAACAACAAUUGCAAUUUCAUGAUUUUAAUCUCGCCCCACUUCAGUUUCCUUUUUCUUCCUCAAUUUUAAUUUCACUCGGCCAUUUAUUUUUUACCUCUUUUCUUUCUUCCUUAUUUUGAUUUUUUUAUUUAUUUGCUUUCAAACUCAAAUUCAAAUGCUUCUUUAUGUUCAUGUGUCCCAGAAAAUGCUCCUGUUUCAACACAAUUUUUUUCAACACAGUGCACAAGCUUGCUAUGGGAAACCAAAUUUGUGAGAGUCUGAGAGAUUGAUACCAUUGUGGAUUUGUUUAGCCCUUUGUUUGGUGCCGAGGUGUGUUGCAUCUAUAUGGGUUCUUCAAGAUUUAGUUUUUGCUUUUUUGUGAGAUGGGUGCAUCCCAUUUUUUGUUUGACCGAUAGAUAGGUGAUUACACAGUGCAGAAAGUCUAUGAUAAUCUAUUGUAAUCUAACAGAUAAUAUUACUUUCCCACCCAUUGCAUUAAAAUCACCAAAACUAACCACUGACUUCAUUUUCCGUUCCCUUCUUUCGAUAUACUUCAAAUACAUUAAUUAGCAUUUUGUUUGAAUAUUAUUAGUAUUAAUGCUACUCAGGGGCGUCUCCGAGUUUUAGGAGGCUCUGUGCAAAAUAUAAAAGUGACCCCUUAAUAAAAAAAAAUUAAAAAAAUUAUCAAUUUAAAUUGCAUAUAAUAUAAAAAAAAAUUCUUGUAAACAUAAAUUAUGAAUAUUAAAUCUUACAUUAAAUUAAAUGGAACAAGAAAUACAAAAUAACUAUCUUUGAAUAUAACGUCAAAAAGGAACAUCAU